ACAUCCAGAGAAUUUAGCAGAGAUGCUUUAGUGCCUUCGGGAACUCUGAGACAGGUGCUGCAUGGCUGUCGUCAGCUCGUGUUGUGAAAUGUUGGGUUAAGUCCCGNAACGAGCGCAACCCUUAUCCUUUGUUGCCAGCACGUAAUGGUGGGAACUCAAAGGAGACUGCCGGUGAUAAACCGGAGGAAGGUGGGGAUGACGUCAAGUCAUCAUGGCCCUUACGAAUAGGGCUACACACGUGCUACAAUGGCGCAUACAAAGAGAAGCGACCUCGCGAGAGCAAGCGGACCUCAUAAAGUGCGUCGUAGUCCGGAUUGGAGUCUGCAACUCGACUCCAUGAAGUCGGAAUCGCUAGUAAUCGUAAAUCAGAAUGUUACGGUGAAUACGUUCCCGGGCCUUGUACACACCGCCCGUCACACCAUGGGAGUGGGUUGCAAAAGAAGUAGAUAGCUUAACCUUCGGGAGGGCGUUUACCACUUUGUGAUUCAUGACUGGGGUGAAGUCGUAACAAGGUAGGCGUAGUGCU
rnacentral:rRNA from 1 species